rnacentral:rRNA from 1 species
GGAAUAUUGGGCAAUGGAGGCAACUCUUACCCAGCAAUGCCGCGUGAAUGAAGAAGGUCUUCGGAUUGUAAACCUCUUUUGCCGGGGAGCAACGGGGUCCUUGCGAGGUCCCAAUGAGAGUACCCGGAGAAAAAGCAUCGGCUAACUCCGUUCCAGCAGCCGCGGUAAUACGGAGGAUGCGAGCGUUAUCCGGAUUUAUUGGGUUUAAAGGGUGCGUAGGCGGGCUGUUAAGUCAGCGGUCAAAUGUCGGGGCUCAACCCCGGCCUGCCGUUGAAACUGGCGGCCUCGAGUGGGCGAGAAGUAUGCGGAAUGCGUGGUGUAGCGGUGAAAUGCAUAGAUAUCACGCAGAACUCCGAUUGCGAAGGCAGCAUACCGGCGCCCUACUGACGCUGAGGCACGAAAGCGUGGGUAUCGAACAG